GGGAAGAGCUGGAAGGACCCAAUAAAAGUGAGUGCGAGGCAUAGAGAGAAAGGAUGCUUGAUGCUGCUGGGCAGGAGCUGAGGCGAGUAGGAGGGAACUGGAGGAUAUAAAGCUGAAGGUGUCUUCUGUGUUGCAAGAGUAUAAAGCUGAGACAGCAUAUAGCAAGGAGCAGAAAGAAAGCAUCACUCGCUGCUGGGCAGCAGCUUUCUCUAUCAUCAGCCUUGCUGGCCUUCCACCUCUGCGUGGGCUUCAUUUAGCAGGAACAAAAAUCACCCCCUGGUUUGUAGGAUUUGAGUAUUCAGAGUGCAUACAUUCAGGCUUUCUUCUGAGCCUUUAGGGAGGCAAAGCAAAUGGUGAAACUCCUCUAAAGCCACACCUGCUGCAGCUCCACAAAUGGCACUUGCUAGAGGGAGAUGGAGCAAAAUCAUGGCAGUUCCCUUUUAAAUCUAUGCUAAAAUAACUUGGUUUUGUAGUAGGAUGCUGCUAACUGGGCAACACUGGCUCACAACGUUUCUGAUGGUGUUUCUCCUUUGGUUUCUGCAAUGCUGGGAUAUCUGUGUGUCAGCCUGGAGACUGAUGCCAGAAGAACUGAUUUAAUUCUUGGUUUGGCCUCAGCAGCCCCUGUGUGGAUUGCAUAAGACACUUUGCUUUUCUGUAAUUAUAAUCUGGUCCUGAGGACAGAAGGCUUUGCCAUCACCUCAGCUAUGGGCCUGCCUCAGCCACGUGCUGCUGCAGCAAGACCUGGAAGUGGCAUAAAACACACAUAGUUUCUUCUGGAAGGAAUUAAAAGUGGCUCUUUUAUAUUGGUGGAUGUCACACAUCAACUGGCUUGUAAAUAUAACUUCAACUCCUAAAAAAGGCGAUUAUCACCUUUAUACUUCCUUAAUAGCAUCAUUUUAAAGUGAGUUACUGACAUCAUAUAUUACCUUCUUCCCCUAACAUAAAUGGUCUCCUCUUGCUGUAUUUUAUUACAUAUUGUAAAUUCAUUCGAGCAGUAUAUUUUGCUUUCAGCAAGGUAUCCUCUGUUACUUUUUCUGUGCAGGAUAAAUUGAGAUAAAUUUUGCCCAUGCCUGCGUUUUGCUUGUGGCAUCCAUCUCUGCCCAUGAAAAGUUACAGCUGGAGUUGAACAGGACUUGAGAAAUGGUCACAUUGCACUGCAGAAAGUUACAGAUCACCAGCUGUGUACAGAGGGCUCAUUGAAGCAGCCAGGAUUUUAAUCGGAAGUGAAAAACAUAAAGGGAUGUGAUGUAUUCUCUAAUGCCUAUCCUGAUAAAGCAAUAAGUGUAUCACAAGGAAGUGACACCAGUUAUUUACCACGCCAUCAGGAGAUCGUACAG
ensembl:lncRNA